GGAGAGGUGCAGGGAAUGGCUAUCCGGACAGUCUCGAAAACUGUUGUCCCGCAAGGGACGUGUGGGUUCGACUCCCACCCUCUCCG
rnacentral:tRNA from 1 species